UGGGGAAUCUUCCGCAAUGGACGAAAGUCUGACGGAGCAACGCCGCGUGAGUGAAGACGGCCUUCGGGUUGUAAAGCUCUGUGAUCCGGGACGAAAGAGCCUGAGGUGAAUAGCCUAAGGAAGUGACGGUACCGGAAAAGCAAGCCACGGCUAACUACGUGCCAGCAGCCGCGGUAAUACGUAGGUGGCAAGCGUUGUCCGGAAUUAUUGGGCGUAAAGCGCGCGCAGGCGGCUUCCUAAGUCCAUCUUAAAAGUGCGGGGCUUAACCCCGUGAUGGGAUGGAAACUGGGAAGCUAGAGUAUCGGAGAGAAAAGUAGAAUUCCUAGUGUAGCGGUGAAAUGCGUAGAGAUUAGGAAGAACACCGGUGGCGAAGGCGACUUUCUGGACGAACACUGACGCUGGGGCGCGAAAGCGUGGGGAACAAACAGG
rnacentral:rRNA from 1 species